GUGUUGCACCUGUGGGAGGCAAGGGAUCGGCUGCAGGCAGAGGUCCUGUCAGGGGCCAAUGUAGUCAGCAGGAGAUAACAGCUCUGGAGCAGGCGGGUACUGCAGUGGAGCAAGACCUUGAGGGCUCCUCACAGCCGAACCACUGAAAGAGAGCAUGCACCAGCUGGGCCCGUCCCUCCAAAUGAAUUAAGCAAUUAACUCGCACACAUACACUCUGACAUACUAUAUUCAUUAUGUCCUCUCACUUCCUCCACAGCAGUGCAGUGGAUGGACUGCAGCAUCAAGCAGAGAUGCAUCUGUUGAAGACACAGGAGUCUGUAGAGAGGUACUGUGGAGGCACAAGAGCAAGCAGCUGGAGGCAGACAGCCUGAUGGUAGUACUCCAUCGACACGACACACAGUGACCCAGCAUGGCUUCCUCUCAGCCCGGCUGCUGAGGCAGACACAGGAGCUGAACCAAGGCCACGACCACCGCAAAGACUCAGGUGUGUGGGCCAGUCGCUCGAUAGGCAGAUCAUUUCAGGUCGAAGACCUCACGUGAAAUCAGAUGUUUAACUGGCCGGCUGAAGUGGGACAGGAGCAUCUUAACCAGCGCCUUGCCAAAGGUCUCGUGUUCGCUCAGCCACCGGGGCCGCUAGAGAUGAUUGGAAAGAGGAGGAGAAAGAGAUGGACAAUGAUUAUCAACAAAAGGCGCAGCCAGAUUCAAAAUGGGAACUUUGCAGCAUUUUUUCUGAGGCCCAACCUGAUAAAUUGGCCUGUUUGAGUGAGGACAUUCUGGCAGAUCUGAGUGUCCAACUCACAGUGAGGCCAAGACUAGUGGAUGCUUUGCUGGCAGCGUGGGAGGUGUGUAUCAUUUUACUAAAGGCCCGCAUGAAUCCACCUGCUGGAGGGAGUGAAGGCUCAGCAAAUUGAGGGCAGAAGAUUCAAAGCUGAGCUUGAUGGGAAGACUGAAGAAAAGAAGACAUAACGAGGGUUGCAAAUCUGCAGCACAAGUGGUGACUUUGAGAACUCAAAAGCUGUUUUGCAUCGUGAACUUCAAGCAUACAAAGUAAACGCCUAAACUGACGGCCUUACAGCUACUGUAUAUCGACCAGGCCUCAGUGACACAGCAGCUGCUGGAGACUCGCUCAGAGCGCCGUGAUUUAACUACAUGAGGAGCUUUGAUUAGCAAAGCAGAGAGCCUGCAGAGGAGAAGAGUCGCUGCCAACCUCCCCCAGCUUUUGUGUUCCCAGCAGCCACGAAUGUCACAGAGUUGGAAGAGUUUCUGCUGAAGAUCUUCUCCUUCAGGAGACCUUGUCCUCGAGUGGAGAGAAACACCAGCUCCCUGUGGAAGCACCUCUCAGAUUUGGACAUAACUUUGAUUGAGCAGGUCUCACCUUUCCAAUCCAAGGGACAUUCAACUGGUAAUGACAAGCACUUAAAACAAAUGAAAGGAGGACUUGUUUAACCUCACCAAGAUUUCACGAAGGAUUUCAGAGUCUUGAUUAAGUGUCCCAAGUGGAAGAAAGAAUUUUGACGUCACAAAAAGCUAUAAAGAUGUGCUGAAGUACAGAGUUUAGUUUGCAGUCUUGUUUAAGUUUUUACCUGAUGUUCCGUUGUUGUUUUGAUUUCAGGUAGGGAGAUAAAGCUCUUCUUAUAACUACAAUAUGUAUUUUAUAAAUAUAUAUAGAAAAUGUUCUAAUCAAAAAAAUGUUAGAUUAGAUUGAAUUAUAUAAAUUUUAUCUAUUUAGGUGAGAUGUUCAUUUUAUACCCAACUUUUUUUUUAGCAAACCUCCUGAUUCACGUCACUGUUUUAGUUUCAAUUACUUUUUAGUGUAAGUUAGUUGAACAAAUGACUGACUAAAAGAAAUAUGUAUCUAUAUUUCAUUAUUAGGUGUCAGUGCAUUGAUUUCUACAAAAGAAAAGUGGAGCACUUGUGUUUUAAGUUACAUAUAGCAACUACUCCUACAGCAAUAGACCCACGAGCCAAUGUAGCCAAAAUCUUAAUGAAUGUGGCCAGAUAGACAAGAAAUUGCAGCCAAAUAAAAGAAUAAUAAAGGCAUCUAAACCCUAACAAGUCUGCCUUUGUUCUUCCACUCCACCCACCACAAGCAGGCAUUGUUGCAGCUUUGAGGGCAGCUCUGAGAGUUCCAUGCCCAUCGGCCUUCAAUCACAUGGGAUGUCUGAGUUUGACAGUAUAAAGUCUUUCUUCUAGAACAAAAUAAGACCCCUAAGCAAUAGUGGAUGAGCUGUUAGUAACCGUACAGUCCACAGGGAGGUAGACCAAGCAUAGUAGUACAGUAUACACAAAGUGCUGGUUAGGGAUAAGACAAUGGACCAGUAAAAGCAUUACUGGAUGCUGCAACACUUAAAUUUCUUACUGUUUGCCUCGACGUGUCUGUUUUCUUUGGUCCGUUUGGCUUCACAAACCAAAACUAAAGUCGAUGUAAACGGAACUUAAUCUGGUUAAGAUCCAUUUAACUGCUGACUUCAAUAAACAGUAUUAAAAGUAAUAAAUGAUCCCCUUUGAUGUUCUCUCUGUUCUCCCACAGAAGUUGCGUCUGUUGUCUUUUUCCUGCAGCGUCCUGUGACUCCUUACAUUUAGCCAUGUCCG